rnacentral:rRNA from 1 species
CCGUUGCCGGCGACCGGCGCACGGGUGAGUAACACGUACGCAACCUGCCCGUGGCAGGGGGAUAAGCGGGGGAAACCCCGUCUAAUACCGCGUAACGCGGCCUUGGGGCAUCCCAAGGCCGCCAAAGGGAGCAAUCCCGGCCACGGAUGGGCAUGCGGCGCAUUAGCUAGUCGGCGGGGUAACGGCCCACCGAGGCGACGAUGCGUAGGGGUUCUGAGAGGAAGGCCCCCCACACUGGUACUGAGACACGGACCAGACUCCUACGGAAGGCAGCAG